rnacentral:rRNA from 1 species
GACGAACGCUGGCGGCGUGCCUAAUACAUGCAAGUCGAACGCUUCUUUCCUCCCGAGUGCUUGCACUCAAUUGGAAAGAGGAGUGGCGGACGGGUGAGUAACACGUGGGUAACCUACCCAUCAGAGGGGGAUAACACUUGGAAACAGGUGCUAAUACCGCAUAACAGUUUAUGCCGCAUGGCAUAAGAGUGAAAGGCGCUUUCGGGUGUCGCUGAUGGAUGGACCCGCGGUGCAUUAGCUAGUUGGUGAGGUAACGGCUCACCAAGGCCACGAUGCAUAGCCGACCUGAGAGGGUGAUCGGCCACACUGGGACUGAGACACGGCCCAGACUCCUACGGGAGGCAGCAGUAGGGAAUCUUCGGCAAUGGACGAAAGUCUGACCGAGCAACGCCGCGUGAGUGAAGAAGGUUUUCGGAUCGUAAAACUCUGUUGUUAGAGAAGAACAAGGACGUUAGUAACUGAACGUCCCCUGACGGUAUCUAACCAGAAAGCCACGGCUAACUACGUGCCAGCAGCCGCGGUAAUACGUAGGUGGCAAGCGUUGUCCGGAUUUAUUGGGCGUAAAGCGAGCGCAGGCGGUUUCUUAAGUCUGAUGUGAAGGCCCCCGGCUCAACCGGGGAGGGUCAUUGGAAACUGGGAGACUUGAGUGCAGAAGAGGAGAGUGGAAUUCCAUGUGUAGCGGUGAAAUGCGUAGAUAUAUGGAGGAACACCAGUGGCGAAGGCGGCUCUCUGGUCUGUAACUGACGCUGAGGCUCGAAAGCGUGGGGAGCAAACAGGAUUAGAUACUCUGGUAGUCCACGCCGUAAACGAUGAGUGCUAAGUGUUGGAGGGUUUCCGCCCUUCAGUGCUGCAGCAAACGCAUUAAGCACUCCGCCUGGGGAGUACGACCGCAAGGUUGAAACUCAAAGGAAUUGACGGGGGCCCGCACAAGCGGUGGAGCAUGUGGUUUAAUUCGAAGCAACGCGAAGAACCUUACCAGGUCUUGACAUCCUUUGACCACUCUAGAGAUAGAGCUUUCCCUUCGGGGACAAAGUGACAGGUGGUGCAUGGUUGUCGUCAGCUCGUGUCGUGAGAUGUUGGGUUAAGUCCCGCAACGAGCGCAACCCUUAUUGUUAGUUGCCAUCAUUUAGUUGGGCACUCUAGCGAGACUGCCGGUGACAAACCGGAGGAAGGUGGGGAUGACGUCAAAUCAUCAUGCCCCUUAUGACCUGGGCUACACACGUGCUACAAUGGGAAGUACAACGAGUCGCUAGACCGCGAGGUCAUGCAAAUCUCUUAAAGCUUCUCUCAGUUCGGAUUGCAGGCUGCAACUCGCCUGCAUGAAGCCGGAAUCGCUAGUAAUCGCGGAUCAGCACGCCGCGGUGAAUACGUUCCCGGGCCU